AAUCAACGCUGGCGGCGUGCCUCAGACAUGCAAGUCGAACGCGAAAGUUCCCUUCGGGGGGCGAGUAGAGUGGCGCACGGGUGAGUAACACGUAGGUAAUCUACCUUUGGGUGGGGAAUAACAGCCGGAAACGGCUGCUAAUACCGCAUAAUGCAGCGGCUCGACAUCGAGACAGUUGUUAAAGCGGGGGAUCGCAAGACCUCGCGCCUAAAGAGGAGCCUGCGGCGGAUUAGCUUGUUGGUGAGGUAAUGGCUCACCAAGGCAUCGAUCCGUAGCCGGCCUGAGAGGGCGGUCGGCCACACUGACACUGACAUACGGGUCAGACUCCUACGGGAGGCAGCAGUCGGGAAUUUUGGGCAAUGGGCGCAAGCCUGACCCAGCAACGCCGCGUGAAGGAUGAAAU
rnacentral:rRNA from 1 species